GCUAUUAUACCAGCACAAUUGCACCGGAUCCCAUCAGAACUCCGAAGUAAAGUGUGCUUGGGCGAGAGCAGUACUAGGAUGGGUGACCCCCAGGGAAGUCCUCGUGUUGCACCU
rnacentral:rRNA from 1 species